rnacentral:rRNA from 1 species
GACGAACGCUGGCGGCGUGCUUAACACAUGCAAGUCGAACGGAAAGGCCCUGCUUUUGUGGGGUGCUCGAGUGGCGAACGGGUGAGUAACACGUGAGUAACCUGCCCUUGACUUUGGGAUAACUUCAGGAAACUGGGGCUAAUACCGGAUAGGAGCUCCUGCUGCAUGGUGGGGGUUGGAAAGUUUCGGCGGUUGGGGAUGGACUCGCGGCUUAUCAGCUUGUUGGUGGGGUAGUGGCUUACCAAGGCUUUGACGGGUAGCCGGCCUGAGAGGGUGACCGGCCACAUUGGGACUGAGAUACGGCCCAGACUCCUACGGGAGGCAGCAGUGGGGAAUAUUGCACAAUGGGCGGAAGCCUGAUGCAGCAACGCCGCGUGCGGGAUGACGGCCUUCGGGUUGUAAACCGCUUUCGCCUGUGACGAAGCGUGAGUGACGGUAAUGGGUAAAGAAGCACCGGCUAACUACGUGCCAGCAGCCGCGGUGAUACGUAGGGUGCGAGCGUUGUCCGGAUUUAUUGGGCGUAAAGGGCUCGUAGGUGGUUGAUCGCGUCGGAAGUGUAAUCUUGGGGCUUAACCCUGAGCGUGCUUUCGAUACGGGUUGACUUGAGGAAGGUAGGGGAGAAUGGAAUUCCUGGUGGAGCGGUGGAAUGCGCAGAUAUCAGGAGGAACACCAGUGGCGAAGGCGGUUCUCUGGGCCUUUCCUGACGCUGAGGAGCGAAAGCGUGGGGAGCGAACAGGCUUAGAUACCCUGGUAGUCCACGCUGUAAACGGUGGGUACUAGGUGUGGGGUCCAUUCCACGGGUUCCGUGCCGUAGCUAACGCUUUAAGUACCCCGCCUGGGGAGUACGGCCGCAAGGCUAAAACUCAAAGGAAUUGACGGGGCCCCGCACAAGCGGCGGAGCAUGCGGAUUAAUUCGAUGCAACGCGUAGAACCUUACCUGGGUUUGACAUGGAUCGGGAGUGCUCAGAGAUGGGUGUGCCUCUUUUGGGGUCGGUUCACAGGUGGUGCAUGCCUGUCGUCAGCUCGUGUCGUGAGAUGUUGGGUUAAGUCCCGCAACGAGCGCAACCCUUGUUCACUGUUGCCAGCACGUUAUGGUGGGGACUCAGUGGAGACCGCCGGGGUCAACUCGGAGGAAGGUGGGGAUGACGUCAAGUCCUCAUGCCCCUUACGUCCAGGGCUUCACGCAUGCUACAAUGGCUGGUACAGAGAGUGGCGAGCCUGUGAGGGUGAGCGAAUCUCGGAAAGCCGGUCUCAGUUCGGAUUGGGGUCUGCAACUCGACCUCAUGAAGUCGGAGUCGCUAGUAAUCGCAGAUCAGCAACGCUGCGGUGAAUACGUUCCCGGG